UAUAGCAAAUAGUGAACGGAGCACUCCUUAGGAGAUUUUCAAUCAUGUAUUUAAUAAAUAAUCAAGAUUACUUAAAUAAACAAUUGAAAAUUUCCUAAGGAGUGCUCUGUUCACUAUUUGAGAUA